AGCUUGCUUCUCCGGAUGAGUUGCGAACGGGUGAGUAACGCGUAGGUAACCUGCCUGGUAGCGGGGGAUAACUAUUGGAAACGAUAGCUAAUACCGCAUAACAGUAGAUAUUGCAUGAUAUCGGCUUGAAAGGUGCAAUUGCAUCACUACCAGAUGGACCUGCGUUGUAUUAGCUAGUUGGUGAGGUAACGGCUCACCAAGGCGACGAUACAUAGCCGACCUGAGAGGGUGAUCGGCCACACUGGGACUGAGACACGGCCCAGACUCCUACGGGAGGCAGCAGUAGGGAAUCUUCGGCAAUGGACGGAAGUCUGACCGAGCAACGCCGCGUGAGUGAAGAAGGUUUUCGGAUCGUAAAGCUCUGUUGUAAGAGAAGAACGAGUGUGAGAGUGGAAAGUUCACACUGUGACGGUAUCUUACCAGAAAGGGACGGCUAACUACGUGCCAGCAGCCGCGGUAAUACGUAGGUCCCGAGCGUUGUCCGGAUUUAUUGGGCGUAAAGCGAGCGCAGGCGGUUAGAUAAGUCUGAAGUUAAAGGCUGUGGCUUAGCCAUAGUACGCUUUGGAAACUGUUUAACUUGAGUGCAAGAGGGGAGAGUGGAAUUCCAUGUGUAGCGGUGAAAUGCGUAGAUAUAUGGAGGAACACCGGUGGCGAAAGCGGCUCUCUGGCUUGUAACUGACGCUG
rnacentral:rRNA from 1 species